UCUCUCUUAGCUCAGUUGGUUUCUUUUUAUUAAAAGCUUGGCGGACUGUUAAUUCACAUGUCACUGGUUCAAGUCCAGUAGAGGGAGCCA
rnacentral:tRNA from 1 species